UCUCUGCUCCCUCCCAGACCAUCCGGUCGCGGGGCGGUGCAGUGCAGUGUAGCCGGGCGGCAGACGGACACAGGGGUGCCUGCGCUGCGCUGCGCUCCACUCCACCUACCCGGACCCGGACGCGGCUCUGAAGACACACUUGUAAACGGAACUAUGGAAAAACCAAAUAAAGCUGCUGAAUUUCCAAAUCCCACUUACCCUCCAGGUUAUGCAGGAAAUCAAGUUCCUUAUGGAUAUCCUCAGUACCCACCUCAAACUUUCCAAAAUGCUCCAGGACAAGCUAAUUAUGCCCUCCAGGGUUACCCAGGAGGAGCUCCAUAUGGACCUGGGGUCCCGCCAGUCCAAAAUCAGCCUUCUGGGCCCAGUGGGGCAGCUUGGAUGCAAGCACCUCCUCCCCCUCUCAACUGUCCACCUGGAUUAGAAUACCUAAGUCAGAUUGACCAGAUAUUAGUUCAUCAGCAGAUUGAGCUUCUGGAAGUUCUUACCGGUUUUGAAACUAACAAUAAAUAUGAAAUCAAAAAUAGCUUGGGGCAAAGAGUAUAUUUUGCAGCGGAGGAAAAUGACUGUUGUACUCGAAAUUGUUGUGGACCAUCACGACCUUUCACCAUUAGGAUCGUUGACAAUAUGGGUCAAGAAGUGAUAACCUUGCAGAGACCUCUCAGAUGCUCUUCAUGCUGUUGUCCUUGCUGCUUGCAAGAGCUUGAAGUUCAGUCCCCUCCAGGUACACCAGUUGGCUACAUAAAACAAAACUGGCACCCCUGUCUGCCUAAAUUUACUGUUCAAAAUGAAGCAAAAAUAGAUGUAUUUAAAAUCAUUGGCCCAUGCGUUGUAUGCAGCUGUUGUGCAGAUAUUAAUUUUGAGGUGAAGUCGAUGGAUGAAAGUUCUGUAGUCGGAAGAAUUUCUAAGCAGUGGUCUGGAUUUGUAAGAGAGGCAUUUACAGAUGCUGAUAAUUUUGGAAUCCAGUUUCCAAUGGAUCUUGAUGUUAAGAUGAAAGCUGUUAUGGUUGGUGCUUGCUUCCUCAUCUUUCUCUUUGGGAAGUUUAUCUACAUCUGUGACCGGAAGUGAAUUUUCUCCUUAGCCCAUUAUAUGUGGGGUCACAGUGCAACUUCCCUGGGCAGGAGAGGAGCCAGGAAGGAUUAGGGAACCUGGUUAUGAUGGACAUAAUGAAGGCACUGGUCACAGCUGCCCACUCUGGCUGAAGACCCCUCUGCUUCUAUCCCCACGCUAAAGAGAGAGGCAGGAUUGAAAAAGCUGAUAAAGGAUUUCAUGUUUUUUGAACAAACUGGGGACAAGAACCAGCGAGCAGGAGUGUGGCAGUAGAAUCUUCUGUUGGAUUUAAAACAUGCUUACAGAGAAAAGUUUCACGCUGCUUUGUGCUCUUUUUCUAAAAUACAUUACAAAAAUCCAGUAUAUAUAGAACAUCUGGAUCUUUUGCUUAUUGCUAGUUUCUUUUGUAACUUAGGGUUUCUAUUGCCCUAUUUUAUUGUUUUGAUAUUGCAAAUACAAUUCUAUACCUCUGAUAUAAAUAUAGAUUAAAUCCUGUAUAAAUAAUGUGAAAUGUUUGAAUCUUCCCUGACUGGAAUUUAAACUGCAAAAAUGAUUUCUUUAUUCUUGUGAGCACUUCAUAGAAGAUCUUUUAUAGUACAGAAACAUUGGGAGUAAUCCUCUGUCACUUGCACAAAACUACAGUUGAUCCUACAACAAGGGCAGAUUUUUUAAUAUUCAACAUUGGCAAUGUUUUAUUUUUAUUUUUUUAUAUAUAUAUAUAAAUAAUUAAAAAAUCAGUUCUCUGUAAUAUCUAUAUAUUGUAUAUUAAACACUGUAAUCCUAUAUUUUGUUUAAUUAUGAUAAAAUAGAUAUCCGCAUUCAUAUUUUGAUGUUUAUAAUCUAUGAUUUUAUAUAUAUAUAUGAAGAAAAGAACAUUAUAUGAGAGCAGAGGUAUAAAUGAAAAGUCUAUUUCUUCCACUAUCUUCAUCUGCAUCUCACAAUUCAGAUGCAAAGUUGCCCAACAGGAGUAGAGUGCCUCACUGUAAUUUAACUGUGUGCUGACUGUCUAGUGUCAUUGUGAUACUGGCAAACGUGAUUCCUAAAGACAUUGUAUACAGCUGGAAGUCUUUCAAAAUUAAGUUUACCCAAGCAAGAUUAAAGCAGAUGUAACCCCUGUUUAAAAAUAUCAUUUUCCCACUUACCUAGAACAUGAGGGAGAUUUUGGUGUUCUGGGUUAAAAUUUGUUACAGUUAUUGAUAGACCACUUUUUAACUAUUUUAAAAGUUGGAUCAUAUAGUGGCCUUUAAACUCAUCUUAUUUUGAUGAACUUUUGAUUCUUUGUAGUAUAAUGGAAACAUACGUGUCUGGCAGCUUGUACCUUUAGAGUGAAUCCUCCACUUUCAUUUGCACAAUAACUACAGUUGAUCCUAGGACCAAGGCAGAUAGGUAAACAUAUUUAGAGA